rnacentral:misc_RNA from 1 species
UGCACUCUCCUGGUUUUAUGAUACCUGGACAAUUCGGACCAAUCAGCCGAGUUCUUGAUUGCUUCUUAAGAGCAGCUUUUACACGAACCAUAUCAUGCUGAGGAAUUCCCUCUGUAAUGCAAACAAUUAAGUCCAAUUCAGCCUCCAAGCCCUCCAUAAUAGCAGCUGCAGCAAAAGGAGGAGGUACAUAGAUCACUGAAGCAUUAGCUUUCGUCUCUGCUUUUGCCUCUUCAACAGUGUUGAAGACAGGAAGACCUAAGUGUUCUGUUCCACCCUUCUUGGGUGUCACUCCACCAACCAUUUUG